CCUACGGGCGGCAGCAGUGAGGAAUAUUGGUCAAUGGGCGCGAGCCUGAACCAGCCAAGUCGCGUGAAGGAAGACGGUCCUAUGGAUUGUAAACCUCUUUUGUCGGGGAGCAAAAGACGCCAUGUAUGCCGUUCCGAGUGUACCCGAAGAAAAAGCAUCGGCUAACUCCGUGCCAGCAGCCGCGGUAAUACGGAGGAUGCGAGCGUUAUCCGGAUUUAUUGGGUUUAAGGGGUGCGCAGGCGGAAGUUCAAGUCAGCGGUAAAAUUUAGAGGCCCAACCUCUUCGAGCCGUUGAAACUGGUGUUCUUGAGUGAGCUAGAAGUAUGCGGAAUGCGUGGUGUAGCGGUGAAAUGCAUAGAGAUCACGCAGAACUCCGAUUGCGAAGGCAGCACACCGGCGCUCAACUGACGCUCAUGCACGAAAGUGUGGGUAUCGAACAGGAUUAGAUACCCUAGUAGUC
rnacentral:rRNA from 1 species